CAGCCGUAAACGAUGCGCGUUAGGUGUAUCGACGACCACGAGUCGUCGAGGUGCCGAAGGGAAACCGUGAAACGUGCCGCCUGGGAAGUACGGUCGCAAGGCUGAAACUUAAAGGAAUUGGCGGGGGGAGCACCACAACAGGUGGAGCCUGCGGUUUAAUUGGACUCAACGCCGGAAAUCUCACCGGAUAAGACAGCAGAAUGAUUGUCAAUCUGAAGGUUUUACAUGACUAGCUGAGAGGUGGUGCAUGGCGUCAGUGACU
rnacentral:rRNA from 1 species